CGGGCCUGAAGGGUCGGGUUGGAUUGGUAGGCCGACACCAAGGCUUCGGACAACGUUUCGGCGUGGACGGGAGCG
rnacentral:tRNA from 1 species